GAAUAGCAAGCUCGCUUCCAAUCUCCCGUGGGGAGAAAAUCUAUCUCCAGCCUUGUUCAGGCCAAUAACCACAUUAUUUGGAAGACAGUCUCACUGGAAUCACAGUGAUUGGGCCAUGUGGCACGCUGUGGGGCUCAACACAGAAGGGGCUUAGCUCAGUGGCAGAGCAUCUGCCUUGCAUGCAGAAGGCCCAGGUUCAAUCCCUGGCAUCUCCAGGUACCGUUGGUGGUCUUUUAAUAUGCUAUUUUUGCUGUCUGCUUUUACAUGAAUGCCGUGGAGUAGUGCAACUGCACAGACGCAGCACAAACACAAAGGCUUUGAUUUCACCUCUGUCAAUACAGACUGCAUCAAUCAGUUGGUAUCAGAAUACAGUGAACGUGCAACCAACCUAUUGUUCAAUGUAGAUUCUGCAGUUCAGUAGUACAUCUGAUGCACAACCAGCAUUGUGGAUGCAUGCUAGAACAUAUGUUAAUCACUAGUGAUUUGUUGGUUGACACAGAUGUUGAAAAUUG